UUUUUGUAGCGGCCGCUUGGUGUUCUCUGAUGUGCAAGGCUUUGGCAUUCCCCAAGGCUCCCAGCAAUCACCUUAAUUCCUUGUCCCUUCGUGGUCAAUUUUGAAGCCAUCCCUUGGGGAGUGUGAACCUUAAGGUGUGAAACAGCUGUGUACUGCCUUUUGUUCCUGAAGAAGGUAUUUAACUGAGAGCCAUUCUCGGCUCGGUAAGACUCUGCUGACCGUCUGCCCUGCGAUCAUGCAGGCUCUCCACCAAGCUUGAUUGUCUCUUCUUUGAUUGUGAUUAAAGAAAAUUAGCUACCGCUCGUCUGCAGGCUUUAUUUAAUGGAAGACUUCCACAAUAGACCGGAUUUGGUGUGUGGUGGUAACAGUAACUCCUCCUAAGGAAACAUUAAAAUAAAGGAGCUGUUCUCAGAGUCACUAAAUAAACACAUGAACGCGACAGUCUAAACAUCUGGAAAGUCCUGGAGGAAGAGAAUGGCUGGACUCAUCUGGAUUCUGCUUUCUGCAUACCUGCUGGGUUGUACCUCUCAGGACCAGAAAAACAUCACAGCUGAGUCUGGACAGGACGUCAUUCUGACAUGUCGAGCUCCAAACUACACCAAUCAAAAUUUCAACUGGAGCAGAGCUGACCUGGGAGAUGAAUAUGUCCUUUUGUAUCGAGACGAGGUGUUUGUUACAGACAACCAGCAUCCAUCUUUUAAGAACCGGGUGGAUCUGCAGGACAACAGAUGAAGGAUGGAGACGUGUCUUUGAUUCUGAAGAAUGUGACGAUUAAUGAUGCUGGAACAUACGAGUGUGUCCUCAUGAAUGGAAUAAAUCAGCACAUCAGCAACAUCACCCUGAGUGUUGUUGAUCCUCCAGGAUCUGUUGGAGUGAUCGUUGGUGUGGUAGUUGCUGCUGCCCUCAUUGUCGCUGCUGUUGCUGGAUUUGUGAUCUACAGAAACCAUAAAAAGGCAAAAGAAGUUCUUCUGUUCUCGUCCAAAUAUCUCAGACCGCUUAUCAUUAAACAGUCUCCUGCUGCUGUUCCCACUUCCCAGUGUUGUCAGUGAACAGACACAGCAGGGAACUUCACAAUGAAACUGAUUUGUGAAAUGUCACCGACAGUUAGGUCUUUGUUUAACUGUUGAAAACAGAGAAUUUUGCUGUUUUAUCAUUCAUUAUCCAGUUAUUGCUUCAUCCAGAUCACACCAUAUAAUUCUGAUUCUGAAUCACUUUAACUAAUCUCUCAGCAUUAUAACAAUAUUCUGCUCUUUACACUGGAUGUCUUUGCAGUGUUCACAUAUUCAGCUUAUUUUUAGAACCUGUGC